AAGUAGAUUUUCUCCUCUGGAACACACUGCAGUUUAAUUUCACUUCUUUCUACAUUGUGUGAUGAAGGUGGAUUUAACUUUUAAAGGCAAAGAGACAAACCUCUGCCAGGAUAAAUGAAAAGACUCAGAGAGGGCAACUGACACAAGACAUAAAAGAGAGGAAAUGCUUUCUGGCUGUUUCCUAAUUUUGAUAUCCGGGUCAUCGUCAGAAAUAAUUUCCAGAGGGAAGAAAGGCCAUCAAGGAUACCAUGGGAAGAAGACCAGGUACAAGCUCAGGAGAGAGGCCACAGAGGAAACCAAUCAUGUGCAUACCUAGAUCUUAGACUUUUGGUCCCCCAGAAGACUCCUAAGGUAAGAAAUAGGCCGAGGUUAUAGAUUGACUCCAGAUUAUUCUAAGGAAAUAUUUUAUGGUGAAGAUGAAAAUAAG